UACGAAGGGGGCUAGCGUUGCUCGGAAUCACUGGGCGUAAAGCGCACGUAGGCGGAUUGUUAAGUCAGGGGUGAAAUCCUGGAGCUCAACUCCAGAACUGCCUUUGAUACUGGCGAUCUUGAGUCCGGGAGAGGUGAGUGGAACUGCGAGUGUAGAGGUGAAAUUCGUAGAUAUUCGCAAGAACACCGGUGGCGAAGGCGGCCAACUGGACCAUUACUGACGCUGAGGCGCGAAAGCGUGGGGAGCAAACAGG
rnacentral:rRNA from 1 species